GAUGGAGGGACGGAGAAGGCUAGGCCAGCUUGGCGUUGGUUGUCCAAGUUUAAGGUGGUAGGCUGAGAUCUUAGGUAAAUCCGGGAUCUUAAGGCCGAGAGCUGAUGACGAGUGUCCUUUAGGACACGAAGUGGUUGAUGCCAUGCUUCCAAGAAAAGCUUCUAAGCUUCAGGUAACCAGGAACCGUACCCCAAACCGACACAGGUGGUUGGGUAGAGAAUACCAAGGCGCUUGAGAGAACUCGGGUGAAGGAACUAGGCAAAAUGGCACCGUAACUUCGGGAGAAGGUGCGCCGGUGAGGGUGAAGCAUUUACUGCGUAAGCCCACGCCGGUCGAAGAUACCAGGCCGCUGCGACUGUUUAUUAAAAACACAGCACUCUGCAAACACGAAAGUGGACGUAUAGGGUGUGACGCCUGCCCGGUGCCGGAAGGUUAAUUGAUGGGGUUAGCUAACGCGAAGCUCUUGAUCGAAGCCCCGGUAAACGGCGGCCGUAACUAUAACGGUCCUAAGGUAGCGAAAUUCCUUGUCGGGUAAGUUCCGACCUGCACGAAUGGCGUAACGAUGGCGGCGCUGUCUCCACCCGAGACUCAGUGAAAUUGAAAUCGCUGUGAAGAUGCAGUGUAUCCGCGGCUAGACGGAAAGACCCCGUGAACCUUUACUAUAGCUUUGCACUGGACUUUGAAUUUGCUUGUGUAGGAUAGGUGGGAGGCUUUGAAGCGUGGACGCCAGUCUGCGUGGAGCCAACCUUGAAAUACCACCCUGGCAACUUUGAGGUUCUAACUCAGGUCCGUUAUCCGGAUCGAGGACAGUGUAUGGUGGGUAGUUUGACUGGGGCGGUCUCCUCCUAAAGAGUAACGGAGGAGUACGAAGGUGCGCUCAGACCGGUCGGAAAUCGGUCGUAGAGUAUAAAGGCAAAAGCGCGCUUGACUGCGAGACAGACACGUCGAGCAGGUACGAAAGUAGGUCUUAGUGAUCCGGUGGUUCUGUAUGGAAGGGCCAUCGCUCAACGGAUAAAAGGUACUCCGGGGAUAACAGGCUGAUACCGCCCAAGAGUUCAUAUCGACGGCGGUGUUUGGCACCUCGAUGUCGGCUCAUCACAUCCUGGGGCUGAAGCCGGUCCCAAGGGUAUGGCUGUUCGCCAUUUAAAGUGGUACGCGAGCUGGGUUUAGAACGUCGUGAGACAGUUCGGUCCCUAUCUGCCGUGGACGUUUGAGAUUUGAGAGGGGCUGCUCCUAGUACGAGAGGACCGGAGUGGACGAACCUCUGGUGUUCCGGUUGUCACGCCAGUGGCAUUGCCGGGUAGCUAUGUUCGGAAUAGAUAACCGCUGAAAGCAUCUAAGCGGGAAACUAGCCUCAAGAUGAGAUCUCACUGGAACCUUGAGUUCCCUGAAGGGCCGACGAAGACUACGACGUUGAUAGGUGGGGUGUGUAAGCGCUGUGAGGCGUUGAGCUAACCCAUACUAAUUGCCCGUGAGGCUUGACCAA
rnacentral:rRNA from 1 species